rnacentral:rRNA from 1 species
UGUGUAGGCGGUUCUCUAAGUUCGGUGUGAAAUCUCCUGGCUUAACCGGGAGGGUGCGCCGAAAACUGGAGGGCUUGAGUAUGGGAGAGGAAAGCGGAAUUCCUGGUGUAGCGGUGAAAUGCGUAGAUAUCAGGAGGAACACCUGCGGUGUAGACAGCUUUCUGGACCAUCACUGACGCUGAGACACGAAAGCGUGGGUAGCAAACAGGAUUAGAUACCCUGGUAGUCCACGCCCUAAACGAUGCAUACUUGGUGUGAGCCGUUCAUUCGGUUCGUGCCGGAGCUAACGCGUUAAGUAUGCCGCCGUGGGGAGUACGGUCGCAAGGCUGAA